rnacentral:lncRNA from 1 species
ACCACGUGGCUACAACCAUUCAGUCUGCCAAGUUCCACAAAUCCAAGUGAAUCCUGUCCAGUUACUUCUCAUACUAGCCCUCUCAAGUCAGCCUCACCUCGCCGAAUCAAUCUUUUAAGUCCAAAAAGACCAUCAAAGAACACUCCUAACCCAGGCUUCGUCCUUCAAAAAGCCAUCGCAUAUGAACAAGCUGUAAGUCCCACGAAAAAUAUUGUUAAGGACCCUGCUGAAUUGUCUUUAGCGGAGAGAAAAGCACUCUUUGAGAAAAAUAACAGCAAACCUAUUCUUCCUAAGGUACCUUUUGGUCAACCACUUCCCGUCAAUAAUAAGCAAACAAAUACUCACAUUAUGGAAGCCUGCGCAACUUCAACAAUGAAGGUAAAAAAUUUACCUUGGUCUCUCAAGCAAGAAGUCAUAGAAAAUUCAACAAAAAAAGGAAAUAAUUUACCUUACUCUCCAAUCAAGGACAAAUUGCCAGCAAAUAUGACUAUGGAAACUGAUGAUUCGUCCAACUCAUCCAAGAAGAAUCCAGUGCACUCGGCAGAGCCUGGAAAAGUGAGCAAGCUUCAGUCCAGAUUGGCAGUUUUUGAAUCGAAAGAAAAAAUUCUGUGUGAAAAGAAAUAUGACGAUGAAAGAGGAAAAGAAUUGGAAAUGCUCUGCAAUCGAUGGGAAAAGUUUAAAUACAUCAAAGGCAGCACUGUCCAAGAGAAAGUAGUCUCACCAAGAGUGAACAAAUGUUUUGUUACAACAGUACAUCCAAAGAAACGACCAAGCUUACUCAUAAGUGACUCUCCUUCAACGCCUGAGCAGCCACCAUACUCACAGUCCCCUGUUCGCUGUCCUAUAUCGCCUGAAAUGAGGUUAAGGAAGGAAAAGAAAUUAAACCUAGAGUUUCGAUGCCUAAUGUGUCACCGAUUGUUGUAUCACCUCCAAAACCUGGACAGCUAUAUCCAAGUCUAUCAGAUAUUGAGGCAAAGACAGGGUCUGAAGUAGCGGAUGAAAAGAAUGAUGCCUCCAUGGACAGUCAAGGGCAGAAUGAUUCUGAUUACACUGUAUCCUCCAGCGAUGGUACUUCCAGUUUUGGGCGUGAAAUUAUACACAUGGCCAGUGAAAAAUUCUAAUAGGCUCCAAUCGUAAG